rnacentral:lncRNA from 1 species
AGCAGAUCUGCUUUUUUGGGGGGCGAUAACUCUGUGCCUUGCAGGGUUGCCCUCUAUAUCACAAGAGCAGGAGAAGCCAGGAAAAUGCGUCAGUUUUCAUCUUUAGAGGUGGAAAAUGCUAAAGCUUCAGUCCUGACGUUGAAUGCUCAGGGGCAAAUCCUACGGCUGUGAAGAACAGAAGUAGUUUCACUGAGGUUUCUUCCAGAAGUCCUGCCCUUUGGAAGAGGCGCAGCUGUAUGGCUGCUUCCGUAUUAUUCUCCCAUUUCCUAUCCCCUCUGCGGCUGCGUCCAGCCCUCCUGUUGAAUGCUGCCAGGUUCAGUGCGACUCCCAGGAGGUGCAGCAGGACCAAGAAUGAACAGCUAAAAAUGAAAGCCAGUCUUCUGCCUUUCAGCCAGGAGACUCUAAACUAUGAGACCACCGCUGACCCCUGA